UCCUACGGGAGGCAGCAGUGAGGAAUAUUGGUCAAUGGCCGGAAGGCUGAACCAGCCAAGUCGCGUGAGGGAAUAAGGCCCUAUGGGUCGUAAACCUCUUUUGUCAGGGAGCAAAGGCGUCCACGUGUGGACGAGAGGAGAGUACCUGAAGAAAAAGCAUCGGCUAACUCCGUGCCAGCAGCCGCGGUAAUACGGAGGAUGCGAGCGUUAUCCGGAUUUAUUGGGUUUAAAGGGUGCGCAGGCGGAGGUGCAAGUCAGCGGUCAAAUUGCGGGGCUCAACCCUGUACUGCCGUUGAAACUGCAUC
rnacentral:rRNA from 1 species